UUGAGGGUACAUGUUGCAUGCCAGUUGGGGUCCCCUGUCUGUCCCCUCUUCUUGACUCCAGCUUAUUAAGUAGUAAAUUCUAGGAGGAUUGCAGAGAGGUGAGGGCACCAAGAGGGCCUUGGAGUGGGGCUGCCAACUGGGAGCAUCAGAAAUUGGAACAGCUGACACACUGGUGACCUUUCCCCUACUUUCAGCUAUUUUUAGCUCUAAUGCCACCACCCUCACGUGAGAUCCUUUGUGGCCGCCCCGAGGAUCCCAAUCCUUUGAGCAGCCUUCAGUGUGCAGAAACGUCGCCCCCGCCCCCACAUCUUGUUUUCUCAACCCCAAUUUGGGAGUGGGUGUCAGGUUCCGGGUGAGGGCGGGGCGGGGGGGUGGCCAGGGCCUGAAGGACAUGGGGACACAGGCCAGAGUGGCCCGCACCACACACAGACAGGAGCGAACCCAGGCUGUGAGUAGGGGCAGCGAAGGGGUGGCCUGAGGUCGUGGCCCGCGAGCGGAUGACAGCGCUGGGGUACCUCGCGGCUGGGCUGGGGAUCACCCGAAGCCCGCCUCUGUCCAGGCGGAUUCUGCUUCCGGGCGUCUCUUCCCCGCCCGCUCCCUCGCUGAUGCCCCCGCCCUGAGGCUGCCCUUGGGGGUCCCGGGGCUGUCUAGGCCGGCCGGGCCUACAGCGCGAGGAUUCGGACGCGUUUGGCGGCGGUUGGCUUAGCGGGUCGCGGGUCUGGGCCAGGCUGGGGGGUGGGGCCGGGGUGGCGGGGCCGGCUGAGCGCACCCCGCGCACCCUCCUGCCCCCCAGGUGCCGACCAACCCCCAGGAUGGCGGAAGCGCACCAGGCGGUGGCCUUCCAGUUCACGGUGACCCCGGAGGGGGUCGACUUCCGGCUCAGUCGGGAGGCCCUGAAACACAUCUACUUAUCCGGGAUCAACUCCUGGAAGAAACGUCUGGUUCGCAUCAAGAAUGGCAUCCUUAGGGGUGUGUACCCGGGCAGCCCCACCAGCUGGCUGGUCGUCGUCAUGACAACAGUGGGGUCCUCCUACUGCAGCUUGGACAUCUCCUUGGGGCUGGUUGGUUGCAUCCAGAGAUGCCUCCCUCGGGGGUGUGGCCCUUACCAGACCCUCCAGACCCGAGCACUUCUCAGCAUGGUCAUCUUCUCCACGGGGGUUUGGGUGACAGGCAUCUUCUUCUUCCGCCAAACCCUGAAGCUACUGCUUUCCUACCAUGGGUGGAUGUUUGAGAUGCACGGCCAGACCAGCCACUUCACCAAGAUCUGGGUUAUCUGUGUCCGCCUUCUAUGCAGCCAACGACCCAUGCUCUACAGUUUUCAGACAUCUCUGCCCAAGCUUCCUGUGCCCAGUGUGGCAGCUACAAUUCGUCGGUACUUAGAAUCUGUGCGGCCUUUGUUGGAUGAUGAGGAAUACUAUCGCAUGGAGACACUGGCCAAAGAAUUCCAGGACAAGACUGCCCCCCGGCUGCAGAAAUACCUGAUACUCAAGUCAUGGUGGGCAACUAACUAUGUGAGUGACUGGUGGGAAGAGUACAUCUACCUUCGAGGCAGAAGCCCUCUCAUGGUGAACAGCAACUAUUAUGUCAUGGACCUGGUGCUGGUCAGGAACACAGAUGUGCAGGCAGCCCGCCUGGGAAACAUCGUCCAUGCCAUGAUCAUGUAUCGCCGCAAACUGGACCGUGAAGAGAUCAAACCAGUUAUGGCGCUAGGCAUUGUGCCCAUGUGCUCCUACCAGAUGGAGAGGAUGUUCAAUACCACGCGGAUCCCGGGCAAGGAGACAGAUGUAUUGCAGCACCUCUCCGACAGCAGGCACAUAGCUGUCUAUCACAAGGGGCGCUUCUUCAAGGUGUGGCUGUACGAGGGCUCCCGCCUGCUCAAGCCUAGGGACCUGGAGAUGCAGUUCCAGAGGAUCCUGGAUGACCCUUCCCCGCCUCAGCCUGGGGAGGAGAAGCUGGCAGCACUCACCGCGGGGGGAAGGGUGGAGUGGGCACAGGCACGCCAGGCCUUCUUUAGCUCUGGCAAGAACAAGGCUGCUCUAGAGGCCAUUGAACGUGCUGCUUUCUUUGUGGCUCUGGAUGAGGAGUCCUAUGGUUACAACCCUGAAGAUGAGGCCAGCCUCAGCCUCUAUGGCAAGGCCCUGCUACACGGCAACUGCUACAACAGGUGGUUCGACAAGUCCUUUACUCUUGUUUCCUUCAAGAAUGGGCAAUUGGGCCUCAACACGGAACAUGCAUGGGCAGAUGCCCCCAUCAUUGGGCACCUCUGGGAGUUUGUCCUAGGCACAGACAGCUUCCAUCUGGGAUAUACGGAGACUGGGCACUGCCUAGGGAAAUCAAACCCUGAGCUGGCACCUCCUCUGCGGCUGCAGUGGGACAUCCCUAAGCAGUGCCAGGCAGUUGUCGAGACUUCUUAUCAGGUGGCCAAGGCACUGGCAGACGAUGUAGAGUUAUACUGCUUCCAGUUCCUGCCCUUUGGCAAAGGCCUCAUCAAGAAGUGUCGGACCAGCCCUGACGCUUUUGUGCAGAUUGCCCUGCAGCUGGCUCACUUCCGGGAUAGGGGUAAGUUCUGCCUGACAUAUGAGGCCUCAAUGACCAGAAUGUUCCGGGAGGGACGGACUGAAACUGUGCGUUCCUGUACUAGUGAAUCCUCAGCCUUCGUACAGGCCAUGAUGGAGGGGUCCCAUAUGAAAGCAGACCUCCAAGAUCUCUUCCGGAAGGCUGCUAAGAAGCAUCAGAACAUGUACCGCCUGGCCAUGACAGGGGCAGGGAUCGACAGGCACCUCUUCUGCCUAUAUGUAGUCUCUAAAUACCUGGGGGUCAGUUCCCCUUUCCUGGCUGAGCCUCCCUGUUGCAGGUGCUUUCAGAACCGUGGUGCCUCUCCACCAGCCAGAUCCCUCAAUCCCAGAUCCGUAUGUUCGACCCUGACCAGUAUCCCAAUCACCUGGGCGCUGGAGGUGGCUUUGGGCCUGUGGCAGAUGAUGGCUAUGGGGUCUCCUACAUGAUCGCAGGAGAGAACAUGAUUUUCUUCCAUGUCUCUAGCAAGUUCUCAAGCUCAGAGACAAAUGCCCAGCGCUUUGGGAACCACAUUCACCAAGCCCUGCUGGACAUCGCUGAUCUUUUCCAAGUUCCCAAGUCUGACAGCUGAGGGCUGGAGAAAUGCCCAGCUGCCCUUUCGCCCCAAAGUUGUGGAGGAAAGGGCCUGUGGCCAGCUCCCAGGCAUGAGAAGUAGCCAUGCACAGAUGCCCAGGCUCCCAGCUCUGGCAGAAAGUGCUCCUGUGAAGAUGCUGCUCCCUGAAAACCCUGGAGGUGGGAUUGAAGCAGGAGGGAAUUUUGAUUUUUUUUCUUGGUAGAUAACUAAUAAAAAUAAGGCUAUGUAAUUAUCUCUCA